rnacentral:rRNA from 1 species
AGUGAAUAGAUACCCGGUAGUCCUAGCCGUAAACGAUACUCGCUAGGUGUCGGCCACGGUGCGACCGUUGUCGGUGCCGUAGGGAAAGUCGUGAAGCGAGCCACCUGGGAAGUACGGCCGCAAGGCUGAAACUUAAAGGAAUUGGCGGGGGAGCACCACAACGGGUGGAGCUUGCGGUUUAAUUGGAUUCAACGCCGGAAAUCUUACCGGGACCGACAGCGAUAUGAAGGCCAGGCUGAAGACUUUGCCGGAUUAGCUGAGAGGUGGUGCAUGGCCGUCGUCAGUUCGUACUGUGAAAGCAUCCUGUUAAGUCAGGCAACGAGCGAGACCCACGCCCACAGUUGCCAGCGUACUCUCUGGAGUGACGGGUACACUGUGGGGACCGCCGCUGCUAAAGCGGAGGAAGGAAUGGGCAACGGUAGGUCAGUAUGCCCCGAAUAUCCCGGGCUACACGCGAGCUACAAUGGUUGGUACAAUGGGUAUCUACCCGAAAGGGGAUGGUAAUCUCCUAAAGCCAAUCUUAGUUCGGAUUGAGGGCUGCAACUCGCCCUC